AAAAUCCCUACCUAUUAUGAUUGUAUCUAACACGCUGGCUAGCCAAGUCAAAAUAAUAAUGAAGGCAACAAAAUAACAAAUAUUUAUAAAAACAACAUAAGUCUGAGGUCUGAAUACAAUAAAACUGCUAAUACCAAACUAAAUCCCUAGAAACUGAUAAGUACAAAGUCAUAAGUUUCUACAAUGGAAUGAAGUCUAUAACUAAGAAUAAAUACACUAUCUGAACUGUAACAACAAUAUUAAAAGAAAAAACAAGUCAAACUGCGACCAAGGAUGUAUCUCUACCUCGCCUCUAGCAGAUCGUUCCAACGAGCAAGCCUACUGCCGAAAACUGGUCCCCACGCCUCGAUCUGCACAAUUAAGUACAGAAUAUAAUAUGAGUACAACUGACCCAAUGUAUUAAAUAAAUAUCAUAAAUAAAUACGGUAAGGUAAGAGAAGAACAUAUUAUCAAUGAUGCUGGCUAUCACCUAAUUAGUUUCAUCAUUUAAACCGGUAAAGAACAAUAUUGAAACCAAAUCGUAAAGUUUAGUACAAAAACAGUCGAGUCUGUAUGUGUACAAUUUCUUAAGUACCCAGCUCAAACAAUAUCAAAGUAGAAAUGGUAUAUAUGUUAACCCCUAGAUAGUCAGCUGAGUUGAAACUCGAUUGUGGUUUUGAAAAACUACUUCAUUGACGAUUAAUGAAAAUCUUUAAUUAUCUAAAAAAAAACAAUAUCUUUGCGUAUAGAGGUGAUAUCUUGGCUUAUAGACGUCACAAUUCUUAUAGAUGAAUAAGAGAAUAAUAACAAUAUAUUUUGUGGCUAAUACAACUCCUUGUUGAACCAACUUAGUUAAAAUCGAAGUCCUAAUAUUAGGAAAAAGUGAAUGUGAUAUGUGGACCUUAAUGCUAGUAGUAUUCGUUGCCUAAAAUAUCCUAAUUAAAUAAAACCCAACUAUUAGGCAAUGUCCAAAUGACGAUUUAUCAUAUAUUAAAUCGUUUCUUUGAAGAAAAUAUCACCACCCAAAAUCCCUGCCAUUUGUGAUUGCGACUAACACACCGGCUAGGCAAGCCGGAACAUGAUAACGAGAGCAACAAGAUAACGAAAAUUUAUAGAAACAACAUAAGUCUGAGGUCUUAACACAAUAAAACUGCUCAUACAAAAGUAAAUUCACAGAAACCGAUAAGUACAGAGUAAUGAGUUUCUACAAUGGAAUAAAGUCUAAAACUAAAUAAUAAAUAAACUGUUUGAACUGAAGCAACAGUAUGAAUAGAAAAGACAAGUUAAACUGCAACCAAGGAUGCAUCUCUACCUCACUUUUAGCAGAUAGUCCAACAAGCAAGCCCACUGCCAAAAAUUAGUCCCCACACCUGAAUAAGCACAAUUAAGUGCAGAGUAUGGUAUGAGUAUAACUGAUCCAAUGUACUAAAUAUGUUUCGUAAAUAAACAUGGCAAAGUAAGAGAAGAACACAUUAUCAAUGAUGCUAGCUAUCACCUGUGUAGUUUCAUCAUUUAAAUCGGUACACACUAAUAUUGAAAUCAAAUCGUAAGGUUUAGUACAAAAACAACCGAGUGUGUAUGUGCAAGAUUUCUCAAAUACUCAACACAAACAGUAUUGGCGUAUAGAGGUCACAAUCCUUAUAGAUGAAUAAGAAACUAAUUACAGUAUCUUUAUGCCCUAGUACGACUCCUUAUCGAAGUCGUAAUAUUAGGAAAAAGUGAAUGUGGCAUGUGGACGUUAAUGCUAGUAAUAUUUAUUGCCUGAAAUAUCCUAAUUAAAUCCAAGCCCUACUAUUAGGCAAAGUCGAAAUGACGAUUUAUCAUAUAUGAAAUCGUUUCUUUGAAGAAAUUAUCACCACCCAAAAUCCCUAUCAAGAUUGCAC
rnacentral:lncRNA from 1 species